rnacentral:rRNA from 1 species
GACGAACGCUGGCGGCGUGCCUAAUACAUGCAAGUUGAGCGCUGAAGGUUGGUACUUGUACCAACUGGAUGAGCAGCGAACGGGUGAGUAACGCGUGGGGAAUCUGCCUUUGAGCGGGGGACAACAUUUGGAAACGAAUGCUAAUACCGCAUAAAAACUUUAAACACAAGUUUUAAGUUUGAAAGAUGCAAUUGCAUCACUCAAAGAUGAUCCCGCGUUGUAUUAGCUAGUUGGUGAGGUAAAGGCUCACCAAGGCGAUGAUACAUAGCCGACCUGAGAGGGUGAUAGGCCACAGUGGGACUGAGACACGGCCCAAACUCCUACGGGAGGCAGCAGUAGGGAAUCUUCGGCAAUGGACGAAAGUCUGACCGAGCAACGCCGCGUGAGUGAAGAAGGUUGUCGGAUCGUAAAACUCUGUUGGUAGAGAAGAACGUUGGUGAGAGUGGAAAGCUCAUCAAGUGACGGUAACUACCCAGAAAGGGACGGCUAACUACGUG